rnacentral:lncRNA from 1 species
CUGAGACCCAAAGUCCUGACUAAUGUGGAGCCCCACGUCCCAGAAAGCUCAGUGCAGUGACCUCUGCUAUUGCCAAAUGCUGACCCGGAGUGGGCCUUUGUCCAGAGUAGUAACCAUGUUACCGAACCCAGAAGGUUUCUGGAGAGUGGAGCUAAGCCACACCCACCCUCCAGUCCUGCAUCCAGUCAACAAAUGCCAAGGACGUCUCUGUGGAACAUCAGGAAAACCUCUAACCAUGAAGCAUGAGAAUUAUGGGGACACAGAAUAUGGUGUGUAUCCGCCUAGGCAUGUGCUUGGAGAGAACCGUGGUGAAACUCCCCGGGACAUCAAUGUUUCUACAGAUGUUUUGCACAAAACUAAACAUUUGAACUGCAAUUUAAUUAUUAGAUCAGCCAUAGGAUCUAGAAGGGAAGAAGGGAAAAUUUUUCCACCCCAACACCACUCAGAGUGUGGUCCGUGGAGCAGCCGCACAGCAUCACUUUCAAGAUCAUUCAAAAUGCAGAGUCUCCGGCCCCACCCCGACCUAUGGAAGCGGAAGGGGACUUUCUAUAUGUCUUCCCCUGCCCACAAGGGUAGGACUAAUAUCCUGGAAGAAUGGAGAUUCCUGGUGUUUCAGUUCAAAGCUUGUUUCCAAAUACUAAGGACCAAAAACAAGACCUAGGGUCCAGACUUUAUUCUGUAAAGCAAGCUACGGCCUGCAGAGGUACAAAUGUACUAACACUGCUUUAAAAUUAAAAGAACUAAUGGAAGAAGUCCAGUUUGAGGGACAGUGGACAUCACGACCUCUAUUUUCUAGUCACUUCAGUCUUGUCUCUGAGCUAAAUUCCUGGAGUGUUCCUGGCAGGUUCUCACACAUAAUACAGAUCCGAGAAUCCAAACGAAGCAGCAAAACACAGAUUGCUCGGCAUGAGGAUGUCUCCAGAGCCUUUCUUUUGAUCCUCACAGGCCAUCUGGUGCUGGUGUAGGAAGAUGGACAAAGAGAUCUGAGAUGAGGAAAAACAUGGAUCAAAAAAAUAACCCAAGGAAAGGAGCAAAAGAGCGGGGAUGGAGCGGGUGGGGACAAGGCUG